AACAUCAAAAUAGAUAGAUCGUGAUAAAAGAGAUUAGAUUAAAUGAU
rnacentral:guide_RNA from 1 species